UGGCAAAGGCAGGUUGGAUUUGUUGUUUUGUGCAGAAAGUGUACUUACUACACAGGGCAUAGCUGAAUAUAGGAUUGUUUGGCUGUGUUAUAACUGUUUUUGGAGGGAGACUUUUGCUUCUUCUUUGCAGUAAAUAUGUAGCUAGUCCAAGUCAUGAAAACCUUAAGACUGUGUCAAGACUUGAUCAGCUACACAUCUGCUGCAGCUCGGCCCAGUUUCCAGUGGGGAAGAGGCCAACACUGCAACACUGAGGAUUUGGAAGUUGACACUGCUGGUAUAAAGUCUGCUCAACUUGAAGAUCCCCAUGGAGCUGCCUCGAUGAAGGAUCCUAAUAUCACAUAUCAGUUAGAUGACCAAGUGCAGGGCCUGCACAACUGCUGCAGCUCAGCUCUGGAGCCCGGAUCAAUGGAAUACUGUUGGAGAUACAACGGACCACACCCACAUACUGAUUAGACCUUCUGAUUGGAUAUCACAUGGAUGUCUUGACCACUACCAUGGCUUUCAUGCAAAUUGAUGAAGGAUCUCUCCUCUUGUUUCCUCCAACCCCUGGGUGUCUUCAGCAUCAGAUGUCAUCCUGGCAAGACAAAUCUUUCUGAAUAAAGGCAUCAAGUUUCUCUGGACACUGAUGGAUGGACUGUGAACUCCUGACCAAAUGAAAUGUAACAAGGAGGACUAUCGCCACACAGCAUGGAGUGUGCCAGAGGUCACAGUGCGAAAGCCAGAACACUUAGUUUUCCCCAGAGGAGAAUGAGGACAAGGAAGAACAGGAGG